rnacentral:rRNA from 1 species
GACAGAGGGUGCAAACGUUGUUCGGAAUUACUGGGCGUAAAGCGUGUGUAGGCGGCUUUGCAAGUCGGAUGUGAAAGCCCUCGGCUUAACUGAGGAAGUGCAUCCGAAACUGGCAGGCUAGAGUACCAAAGAGGGUCGCGGAAUUCCCGGUGUAGAGGUGAAAUUCGUAGAUAUCGGGAGGAACACCGGUGGCGAAGGCGGCGACCUGGGUGGAUACUGACGCUGAGGUGCGAAAGCGUGGGGAGCAAACAGG